UAAAGAGCUCCCAGAACAUUUGCUUUUGUGUACCUAAGAGGAAAAAAAAAAAGCCUCUGAUGGUGGGGGAAGCCCAGAUGGGUAACAUAAAAGUGACUUUCCUUGCUGAAAGAGCAAAGGCAGGAGAAGGGGGUUGUGACAAGAGGAUAUAAAAUACCCUGCAAUUCAUCAGCAAGGAGAAUCAAACUCUGCCGGAGCGAUCGGCAUUCCUGGGGAUUAUGGAAAGGAUUACGAGCAGCUGGCCAGCCUGUGCAGAGGAAAAGCCAUUUAUUGAGGAGGAAAGAAAAAUAGGCAGUGAAAAUAAAAAUGUUUGCAUUCCCUAAAAAUA